GAUGAAGAACGUAGCUAAAUGCGAUAAGUAAUGUGAAUUGCAGAAUUCAGUGAAUCAUCGAAUCUUUGAACGCACCUUGCACCCUUUGGCAUUCCGAAGGGUAUGCUCGUUUGAGUGUCAUUGUACUCUCACACUCCCGAUCUUUGGAUUGGGAGCGGUGGACUUGGGUUUGCUGCUUGCCGUGGCUCACCUCAAAUGGAUUAGUGCAACUCUUGGUUGACCAUAGUACGGCGUGAUAAGUGUCUUCGCCGGCACCUCACUGGGUGGGCCGAUCGGGAGCUCUGUGCUUCAAACCGUCUUCGGACAACAACUGACAACUUGACCUCAAAUCGAGUAGGACCACCCGCUGAACUUAAGCAUAUCAAUAAGCGGAGGA
rnacentral:misc_RNA from 1 species